CUUUCUAAGUGGUGUUCAUGCGAAGAAGAGUUGAUCUCUUCUCACGACUGGAGCCAUUGUUGGAUUUCAAAUUUCCCGGGCAAAUCCUGAACCAAAGCUCCCAUGAUCCUUUGCGCGCGAACUUGUAAUGGCGGUCAUUUCAGAAAGAAAACAGACGACAUUUCAGCCGAAGCCGGGCCUGUCCAGUCGGAGUGCGGCCUGCCUGUGCCAGAAUCCUGCAGCCGGUAUGCGGCCAGCGGGCAGGUCUGCAGGGACCGGCGGGAAUGGAGGCAGGAAUCCCCGCAGUCCCCAGGCCCGAAACCCGGUAAGAUGCCGGCCCAGAUUGUUGCCUUAUAUGAGCGCGAGCCCCGACCGGUGACAGCGGCAGGGAAGGGCCAGGAAUCCGAGGCCAGACAUUUUUGUGCAGAUCCGCCCUCCCACCGGGGCUGACCCGCAGUGUAGGGUUUGCAGGUAGCUCGUUCGGCUGCUGAACCUUACUAUUGCCCCUGAUGUUGUAGUCUCCUAGAAGUACAACAACUACAUGUGGGAGAGCCUUACUAUAGUACUGAG